UGAUUCUGCAUUUUGACUGGCGUGGAUGGUGCUGCAGUGAACGCUGGAGCAUUAGCAUCUCUUCAAGAUCCUGACUGCAGUUUUAUGGAGAAAUACCCAGAAGCAGAUUGCUGCAUCGUUGUGGUCUCCAUCAACGGAUCAGUUGCAGUUCAGGUUUUCCUGCUCCUGGCUCUGGUUCCUUCAGAAGCCUCUGCUGUGCUGAGUUGGAUCUACCUGCCUGUCAUUCCGAUUUUAGCGGCAGCAGUUUGCCUAUGACCUCAUUCUCAUGGCUUUAAUAAAAGUUGUUGUUUUUUCAACUGGUAAGAUAGAAGCAGGAUGGGACCCCAAGGCAGUCAAGAAAAUGAGUGAUUGAUUUCACUCUCCGUGCCUUACGCCAUGACCCAUAAUGCUUCUGCUGAGACUCCUCAUUCAGCAAAACCUGUUUAGGGGAUCAUCUCUGUUAGACAGACAGCUGCCCAGAAGACGUUCCCUGCGAGUGUGGAUUUUAGAUUACGGCCAUUUAACACUGAGAACCGGAAGAACACCUGUCAUAGACGUUUUUCUACAAAAAGAUGGUCUCUUUAAUCACAUUUCAUUCUCCUUCAGGAAAACGUUCAUUUUAAAAUGUGGCAUCUGCUUCUUUGAUUCAUUGUUUUCAGCUGAAACACUAAUUUGGAGCUGAUUUAUGGCGUCUUUCUAUGCUGAAAUGAGAAACUGCAGCUAAGACUUUAAGAAGGAAGGACUUUCCCAGGCAUUUCGUUUGUGGCUUUCUCUUUUACAAAAAAGGGGAAAAAAAUCUCAAAAUUUAUUUUUGAGCCUUUCUGUGUGACUUUAAUUAAUGACAGGGGUUCUUUCAAGCAAACUCUGAAAAUAUGAAAACUAAAUUGUGAAAACAUGUCGUGGAAUCUGGGGAACUUCCCCAUGUUGAAAUUUGUUACAUUUGUCUGUGAACAUUGCAAAGUAUCAUUGAUGCCCACUGGUGUUUAGAGAAGCUGUGCUUGACUUUGAACUUAGCUCUAGUUGGAGGCUAAAUACUUGAAACACAGGUACUUUCUCCCAUCUGCGGACUAGAUCGAGUGUAACUAUUAGAAGACAAACUUCAUUUUGCACACUGUAAUUUAAUGGUAUAACAGUGUGCAGAACAGAAUAUCAGUUAAUUUUCAAAACAUUUUAUUCUGCACCAAUUAGCUCAGGUCCUGGAGGGCAAAAUGACAAGAGGUUACUCGUUCACUAUGUAUUUAAUUAAUUGAAAAAUGCUCAAAUUGCUUUUACAGUUGUUAUUAAAAAGUAGAAUCAGUGUUGCCAGUGCUCAACCAUAAUUGGAACCCCAGGGAAUUAAAUAUUUAGCAUUAGUAAUGUAACAGCACUUAGGACACAAAUUUCUAUUUUCGUAAUGAAAGCUAUACACUGUGAGUGCAGGCGGCUGAAACGACAGCUGUGACAAGUGAAACGGCCUGGGAUAUUUCAAUAAGACACCUCAUUGGACAGCAAGUCUUACCACAUUACCCGUUUGUAAGAGAUCUGCAAGUUUAAUUCCCAAUAGAAACCCGUUACCCAAGUAUUUAGAUUCCUAAUUGCAUGCGGGAUGAACAGUUGGACAAAUGUCUUGCCAUAAGUGGCUAAAACAUAUAGUGCUUUCUAAAUAAUCCUAUAUAAGUUCAUGCCUUUGUCAAUUUAAAAAGAGCAGGACUAUCGGGGAAUAAAGAUCUUGUUUGUUUUAAGUUUGAUUACAUUUUAAGCAUACAAGCGUUCAGUGCUACAAUGAGAAAAGUUGGAUAUUGGGCUCUAAUGAGCUGCAGUGGUAGACGGCUAGAGACCCUAAGGGAUUCACUCCGUAAAUUAACUGGAUAAAAGUACUUGCUUAGGAUAUAGUUGAUGGCUGAGCUGUUCUUAAAACCCAGUUAUAGAGCUGUCUCUCACUCCUGUUUUCAUUCUAAACAGGCCCUGUAGAGAUUUUAACAGCCUCCUGUUACAACUGUUCAACUUGUCAAAAUG